rnacentral:rRNA from 1 species
GACGAACGCUGGCGGCGUGCUUAACACAUGCAAGUCGAACGGAAAGGCCCUGCUUGCAGGGUACUCGAGUGGCGAACGGGCGAGUAACACGUGGGUGAUCUGCCCUGCACUUCGGGAUAAGCUUGGGAAACUGGGUCUAAUACCGGAUAGGAGCCAUCUUUAGUGUGGUGGUUGGAAAGUUUUUUCGGUGUAGGAUGAGCUCGCGGCCUAUCAGCUUGUUGGUGGGGUAAUGGCCUACCAAGGCGGCGACGGGUAGCCGGCCUGAGAGGGUGUACGGCCACAUUGGGACUGAGAUACGGCCCAGACUCCUACGGGAGGCAGCAGUGGGGAAUAUUGCACAAUGGGCGCAAGCCUGAUGCAGCGACGCCGCGUGGGGGAUGAAGGCCUUCGGGUUGUAAACUCCUUUCGCUAGGGACGAAGCUUUGUUGUGACGGUACCUAGAUAAGAAGCACCGGCUAACUACGUG